AAAUAACCAUGUCCUGCUCUUUUUCCACUUUCUUUUUGUUAUUUAAUUAACCAGGACUGGUCUAGUUAUUGUUGCAACUGGAAUGUUGAUUGCAAGCAAGCCUUAUCUAGAUAAAUUACGGAGUCAAGAUGAGCAAAAUAAUGUACAGAUUGCCAAACCUUGUGUGAAGAUGGACGAUGAAUAAAAUAUUGUGAAAAUGUAACUAUUGCAUUAUAUAUACUUUACAGUGAAAAUACAAAAAGUUUUGACCCGCUUCUGUAAUUUGUUACAAGUGAUUUACUUUAAUUUGUUCUGUUUUUCUGUAGCGAUUACCAAUUUAUUGGCAAAUACCACGAUAAAACUUAGUUUUCUCUAUUUUUAAUAUAUGAUAAUUUGUAACAAAGGGAAAUAAUAAUUUUUUGUUAGUUUCAUUGCAUAAAAGGUGCGAAAUUUAAAUUUUAUCGCAGUAUUAAUUAGCCGAUAAAUUUAUUGGUAAUCACUACAGAAAAACAGAACAAAUGACAGUAAAUUGCAACAAACUACAGUCUAAGCGGAAGUAGGACACUUUUUGUAUUUUCAUUGUAACCAUCGCAACAGUUGUAUGCAGUUUGGCCUUUGUAAUUGUCCUGAUGGAAACAAGAAUUUGGUUGGGCAGAUUGCACUGACAGAUGAUUCUGAAAAAUCUGGGAAUUCUCUCCCCCACCCACUGUCAACAAGAAUUUUGGGAAAUAUAAAACAGGAAAAGAGUUGGUUGGGCAAUAUUAAUUAGCCAUUCCAAAGUUGAUGAGAGGACUGGGGACAAGUGUUAAAAAGUGCCCAAAUUAAGAAAUCAAGCAAAUCACUAAAAAGACCACCUCAAAAUUAGUAAGUAUACAAAGUUUGAAGACGUUUACAUCAAUACCCUUCGAAUAAUAAGCUUUCGAAAAUUGCGAUAUUUACUAUGAAAUGUACUGUGUUUUUUUUUGUUAGUGAGGAUGUGCGUCCCAAAAACAGUCUUUUAAUCGGUAAUUUCACAAUUUUCGAAAGCUUAUUAUUUGAAGGGUAUUCAUGUAAAUGUUUUCAAACUUCGUAUACUUACUAAUUUUGAGGUGGUCUUUUUAGUGAUUCCGUUCAUUGGGUCAUUCCAGAAAACAUCCAUACCACCCCCACAGAGGAAAUAGGAAGUUUAACCCCCUACCCCCUUCAGAUGUCCUAAUACAUUUACUAUUAUCAGAAACAAUUUUUUCUCCCCUCCCCCUCCGGACGGCAGAAAUUUCCUCCGUGGGGGGGGGGGAAUAUGGAUGUUUUCUGGAACGACCCAUUUCUUAAUUUGGGCACUUUUUAACACUCGUUUCCAGUCCACUCAUCAACUUCGGAAUGGCUAAUAGAGUUGACAAAAGAGUAGAUUUCAGACCUGGGGGAAUAAAGUCUGUUUACUUUAGUAAUGAAAGAUUUAUCAUCUUUUUUAAUUGUAGAUUAGUUUGAAAAUGAGAGGACAGAAAGAAAGAUUGUAAACAAACAAUAGGAAUCAGAACGAAGAUAGGUCAAUGAGAUAUUUAUAAUAUAUCCUUUUCCUUCUAAUAAUGUUACUUUUGUCUUCAUUUCAUCACAUGUUAAUUGUUUGGGUCAGGUUUUAAAACAUUUUUACAUGUCCGAUGACUUUGAAUUUGGAUCGGACAUAUGUACGACGAUGUCCGAUGACCUUCAGUUUAGUGUAGCUCGGAAAUAAGUCUGAAUUAUGCAAAUUAAUAUUAGCACAAUGUAUUAAUGUUGUGAAGAGAUAAGUUGUAUCAUUCUUACUUAUUUCCAAGCCAAAAUUAACUUGCUUGCCAAUAACAGCAGUAAUAGUGACAUAGACAACUUAAGCCCAUUUUCCACUUCACCUGCCCUCGAUUACAUUAAAAUAACAUUUCUGGUUCACUUUUUAUACAUCACUCUGAUUCUCCAUUUAACAUACGAAAAUCUAAGUAAAACUUUAUCAAGAUGAAAUAUUUAUCCUAUAAGGCUAUAUGCAAUACUGAUUAAACAUUUUUCUCUCGAAAUAUUCUCCUUGAAUUAUUUAUGAUUUUUUGAGAUAUCUUUUUUAAGAUUAUGUCCAAUUUAUUAUGCAAAAAUUGCAAAAAAUAUGCCACAAUAUAAGUGAAUUAAUUAAUU